GAUAGUUUAUUGUUGCUGGGAAACAACAGAGGAGAAGGGAGGAACAUGCCAUCCCAACCCCCAGGCAGGACAGAGUGUGAUUAUACAACUAGUAAUACAUGUGGAGGCAGUACCAAGAAACGAUAAAGACACAAUGGCAGGAAUGAAUGCACAACAAGGGAGGGGGGCGGUACCUGCCGGCCUGCCCCUGGGCAAUGAUGAUGUGUUGUCUGUGGCAGUGUUCACCCACGAGGCGCCCCAGCUGGUGAUGCUGUGCCGGGUGUGUUGUUCCCUGAGCAGUAAUUAUGCUGUGCUCCAGCACUGGUGGCAGUGCUUCCAGAUGGUCAUCCUCAGAGCACCACAUUCAUCAGAGUCGGCCCCAAAACCUUCAUGGGCACUCCAGUAAUGAGGUCCAAUCAAACCACCAUCCAGGCCCCUCAAGAAAGCCUGCCCCCGCUAUAGGCUGGCACAUAAAAAAAAAUAAAAAAUGAAUAAUAAUAAUAAUGAUAACUUAGGCAUUACCCGGUGGGCGUGCUGCUUGACCUCCCCUGACCCGGAACCUCACGGCACACUUCCCAGAGCAGGACCUCAUCCACUAACCCUCAAGGCAUUACCUGGGGGGCAUGCUGCUUGACCUCCCUUGCAGGGUCGCCUUGCUGCCCUGGAACCUCCCGGCACACUUCUCACACUUCCCAGAACAGCAUCUCAUCACUGCCCCUCAAGAGGUUGUUGAGUCACUCUUCACGUCCUCCCUGAAGGAAGCCGGCGGCCUGAAGCACCGCGGGCAGGUCACCACCACCAGCCUGCAGGCCAGGGACCACAAACACCUCUGGAAGGGACUCUGGAAUGGCAGGCUUCACUGUGGCUUCACUAAGGUCUCCUCACUCUUAUAUAUACUCAAUUUUGCAUCAGUACACACGUCAUCGUCAUUGUCAUAUAUUGGUCGGUAUUAUCAAACGCUUUCGUCCAUCACAUCAACUGUUUCCAAAGGCCAAACAGGAGAUAAAUUGGGUUCUCAUGAGUGCUCUUUUAGGUUCAUGGUACAGAAGAAGGGUCAAACUACCACCAGGGUCAUAAAACUGUCCUUGGAAAUGCCCAAAAUGCCUAUGAAAGCCUUGCCAAGUAUGUGUGCUUGGGUGCCAAAAUGUUGAGUUAUACAGCCCAUUAUUUCUCUGCUAUAGGAUGAAGGUCUUUCACAACUCUUUUUGGCAGCUCCUCUAUACUUUAUUUUAUUGGAGCAGAGAUUAGUGUUUUUUUCCCCCUGGAGUUGCUUCCUUUAAUGAAAACAAAGUCCAUUUGUCUCUGUGUCUGAUGUUAAUACACUUCAUCCUGCCCCACAAAGCUUCUAAUUUCACGUCCUGCUUCUCUGUCUGCCCUGACUUACACGCUGGCUGGGUGCUUUGGUUCCUCAGCUGUUGUGAGGUGCAUGAGAUGAAGUGCACAAGUCCAAGCCUCGCCUUUCAUAGGCACCAGGACACCUUUAACCUUUGUCUGUUCCCUGGUCCAGGACACUCAAGGCCUGUCUCCCCAUGUUGUGCCUGGCAUUCUUCUCCAUUCAGCUUGGCACAUUUCUUAACUUCUCUCUGGGUCUUGUGUGAGGUGCAGAGUUUAUGAAGCACAUUUUAGGGCUGGGAAUAUGCACAGACUGCACCCUUCUCCUCAGGGAGAGGGGCAGGUUUAUAGUCAUAAUAAUACAAUGUUUACCAAAAUUGUUCCACUCUAUUUCUCUCCUGAUUUCUUAUUCAUUUUGUAGGCCUGGUUUGCAGUAAUUAGGUAAAGUUUGGGGCACAUGUUACAAGUGUGCCUGGCUGUGGUGCUCAUCUUCAUCCCUCUGGCCCCUGAGCCAGCAGCGGGUAAGGACCCUUCAGCCCCAGGACAUGGCCACUACAGUAUCUGGGUCACCACAGCUGCCUUGCCCAGGCUCCCUUUUAUAGACCAACCCAAAAGGAAGGAUGAACAGCUGGGUGGGUCGUCAUUAUAACCCAGACCGGUGUGUUCAUAGCUAGCCGUCAACCUCUCCACCAAGGGAGCACACUGGUUGCUGUGUGUGUCUACUCUUUCAAAGCAAACACUGCCUGGGUCACUGUAACAGCAGCCUGCCCCUGUCCCUGCAGAGGAAGGUGUUCUGUCAGUGUAACAGGAGAAAGCUGAAAAUCAACCGCACGUGCAAGACAUGCCAGGCUCUGAUGUCCAGUGUGGAGGAGAUCGGAAUUCCUAUCAUGAGGGAGACACACAACCGCACCACACCCUCACCGGACGCCAGCAAGCUAUUGCCAUCCUGUAGUCGCCACACCUCCAGCAGGGAGUUCUCCAGGCACACGCCAGCAUUGCUGCCAAGGACUUCACACUGCACUGCCCGAAACACCCGUCGAGGGUGAUGAGGAUGAGGAGACAGUCAAGAUUGUGCAGUGGGUGAAGAGCAAUGAGCCAAUGGGAGCCACCAUCAAGCAGGACGACCACUCCGGAGCCAUCAUCAUCACCCGCAUCAUGCAUGGCUGACUGCUCCGGCCUCAUCCAUGCUGCUGACGAGGUGCAGGGGUCAACACCUUCAAUGUGGAGGGCAAGACACCGGCGGAUGUCCACAAGAUGCUGGUGCAGGCGGAGGGCACCAUGACCUUCAGGCUGCUCCCGGCCAGCAGCUCGGUGCACCUCAGGGAGAGCAAGGUGAGGGUGCACGCCUACUUCCACUAUGACCCCAAGGAGGACAACAAGCACAUUCCCUGCAAGGAAGCCAGGCUGCCCUUCAACAAGCUGGACAUCCUGCACAUUGUGACCCAGGAUGACCCCUACUGACAGUGUUUGACCGUGUGGACGGACCCUGACGGUUGCUGUGAUGUGCAGGUGACGGCUUGGUGACGCAGGGCAUGGAGGACACAGCGCUGCAGUGGCUCAGCGAACGCCUCGGCCACCCAGACAACUUCACUUCUGUGAUAUUCCUGCCCAGACCAAGGUAUCAGCUGUUACACAUUAAGGGAUGUUGUUUAUAUGGGGGUGUGCUUUUUGUUGUGUGUUGAGAUGGGAGGAGAAGGUAUGCAAAGGUCAUGCAGGGAAGGGAGCAAAUGGAGACUUUUGCUGGGUCUCAUUUUCCUUACUUAGUUUUUUCCUGUUAGUAUUGCAUAUUAGUUGGAAUGAUGUGGACAAACUAGCUAAAACGCUCUCUUCGUAAUGGCAGACCUUGCAUUAGUAUAACGAGUGGCCCAGCAAGUGAAGGCAAGUGAAGAGCUACUUGGGGUGUGGUGAGGCUGUUAGGUGAGGCUGAUGGCGGCAGUGCUUCAUCUGUGCUCUCAAUAGAAUGGCGACCCAGCAAGUGUAGGAAUUGAAUGGUCAGGCCACACAAAAAUUGGCUGGAGAGGUGAAAUAGAAUCUUGCCUGGAGUGAGGUGAGCUACACUGAUGGACAGACAGAGGUGGGAAACCAUGUGCUGAAGUAGAACCCUGAGUGAUAUAUAAUGAGAUGGACGUGAAAUUAUUACCUUAGCCAGGGCAGGAUGGAUCACACAAGACCAGACGGAGGGAGAUAUGGAGAACUAGGAGUCAUAGAAGCCAGGGCAGACAGCAGCCAAGGUGGAGGGAUGAAAUAAGAACCUUAGCCAGGGCAGGAUGCAUCACACAAGACCAGACAGAGAGAGAUAUGGAGAACUAGGAGUCAUAGAAGCCAAGACAGACAGGGAACCAAGUGU